rnacentral:tRNA from 1 species
UAGAAGGUGGUGUAGUGGAAGCACAUAGAGUUUUGAUCUCUUUAGCGCAGGUUCAAUGCCUGUUCUUCUAG